GUGCUCACAUCAGCAGCACAUACACCAAAAAUUAGCAGGAUACAGAGAAGAUUAGCAUGGCCCCUGCACAACGAUAACAGGAAAAUUCGUGAAGCAUUCCAUAUUUUU